rnacentral:rRNA from 1 species
GACGAACGCUGGCGGCGUGCCUAAUACAUGCAAGUAGAACGCAGUUGCGAACGGGUGAGUAACGCGUAGGUAACUGCCUCAUAGCGGGGGAUAACUAUUGGAAACGAUAGCUAAUACCGCAUACUGUGAGAUGGACCUGCGUUGUAUUAGCUAGUUGGUGAGGUAAAGGCUCACCAAGGCGAAGAUACAUAGCCGACCUGAGCGGGUGGACGGCCAAAAUGGGAAGUGGACACGGGCCAGACUCCUACGGGGGGCAACAAGAGGGAAUCUUCGGCAAUGGACGGAAGUCUGACCGAGCAAAGCCGGGUGAGUGAAGAAGGGUUUCGGAUCGGAAAGCUCUGUUGUUAGAGAAGCGGUAACUAAACAGAAAGGGACGGCUAACUACGUGCCAGCAGCCGCGGUAAUUC